AUGAACGCUGGCGGCGUGCCUAAUACAUGCAAGUCGAGCGAACAGACGAGGAGCUUGCUCCUCUGACGUUAGCGGCGGACGGGUGAGUAACACGUGGAUAACCUACCUAUAAGACUGGGAUAACUUCGGGAAACCGGAGCUAAUACCGGAUAAUAUAUUGAACCGCAUGGUUCAAUAGUGAAAGACGGUUUUGCUGUCACUUAUAGAUGGAUCCGCGCCGCAUUAGCUAGUUGGUAAGGUAACGGCUUACCAAGGCAACGAUGCGUAGCCGACCUGAGAGGGUGAUCGGCCACACUGGAACUGAGACACGGUCCAGACUCCUACGGGAGGCAGCAGUAGGGAAUCUUCCGCAAAGGGCGAAAGCCUGACGGAGCAACGCCGCGUGAGUGAUGAAGGUCUUCGGAUCGUAAAACUCUGUUAUUAGGGAAGAACAAAUGUGUAAGUAACAAUGCACGUCUUGACGGUACCUAAUCAGAAAGCCACGGCUAACUACGUG
rnacentral:rRNA from 1 species